UGCAUGUGUGUAUGUGUGUCUGAUGUCUUAGUGUUCAUAUCCAUGAGCAUCAGGAGAGCUUCCACUUUACCCAUGUUUCAAACUCUAGAGAGGCUGCUCCCCCUGCUGAGUAGCCUGGUCGUGGCCAGGGCUGGGUGAUGGCUGUUUGGAUGCUCUCAGAAAUGUGGUAAGCCGUUCACUUAUUAUUCAGGGAAACAUCCGGCAAAGUGAUAGCUUCUUUCCUUGCUAUCAGUAUCUACUGCCAGCUGUUCACUUGGAUUGAAGGAUAUGAGGGACUGAAUGCUGAAUUCACACAUGCAGCUAACCGCCCUCCUCCAGACCCCAGAGGAGCCAUUAGGAUGAGUGUUUAUGGAGCGGCACUACCUGGAAAUGCCAAGGCCCAGUGGGGAAUGAGAGAUCGACCAUGCAUGUAGAACCUGCCUUAUUUCACAGGAAGCAUAAAACAAUCCUGUAGCCACGACUCCUGCCCCCAUUUCAUGGAAGGGAUGCUCUGAGGCCACCUCAAUAACAUGGGCAGCAAACGCCCUGGAGGAAUCCCUGCACGUGAAAUGCAGGAGCCGUCAGACUCCACACUUCUGCGCAUGCCGUUCCUUCUGUCUGGAACGCCGUUCCCUACCUUGCCCUCCAAAAUAUCAGCUUAUUGCAGAAGCUUCAGUUAAUUCCCCUCCUAUCAGAAGACUUAAUGUUCCCAUACUUGUUUGCUUAAAGCAUUUCACACGUAUCUUAUGAAAACCCUCUAUCUCGAUGUUUUACUCACUUUGUAUCCCCAGCUCAGAGUAACACUCCUAACUCAUAGUAGAAACUCAAUAAAUAUUUAAUUACUCA